AUUUUUGGCACACGGAGGCCCCUCGCAAAGUCUCGCGGCAUUCCGAGUCUGGCGGACGAAUUUGGCCAGCCCCACCCCCCAAGGUUAUAGCCCACCCGUUUUUGUGGCCUUUUUCCGCUGGAUGAACUUGGCGCCCCGACCUUCGAGCGGUUAAUUUUGGGCGCGGCUUUACCCGCCGCCUAGUUUUUGAACACGGAGGCCCCUCACAAAGUCUCGCGGCAUUCCGAGUCCGACGGACGAAGUUGGCCAGCAUCACCCCCCAAGGCUAUAGCCCACCCGUUUUUGUGGCCUUUUUCCGCUGGACGAACUUGGCGCCCCGGCCUUCGGGCUGUUAAUUUUCGACGCCGCUUUGCCCACGGCCUAUUUUUGGCACACGGAGGCCCCUCGCAAAGUCUCGAGGCAUUCCGAGUCCGGCGGACGAAGUUGGCCAGCCCCACCCCCCACGGCUAUAGCCCACCCGUUUUUGUGGCCUUUUUCCGCGGGACGAACUUGGCGCCCCGGCCUUCGGGCGGUUAAUUUUGGGUGCGGCUUUGCCCGCGGCCUAUUUUUGGCACAUGGAGGCCCCUCGCAAAGUCUCGCGGCAUUCCGAGUCCGGCGGACGAAGUUGGCCAGCAUCACCCCCCAAGGCUAUAGCCCACCCGUUUUUGUGGCCUUUUUCCGCGGGACGAACUUGGCGCCCCGGCCUUCGGGCAGUUAAUUUUGGACGCGGCUUUGCCCGCGGCCUAUUUUUGGCACACGGAGGCCCCUCGCAAAGCCUCGCGGCAUUCCGAGUCCGGCGGACGAAGUGGGCCAGCAUCACCCCACAAGGCUAUAGCCCACCCGUUUUUGUGGCCUUUUUCCGCUGGACGAACUUGGCGCCCCGGCCUUCGGGCGGUUAAUUUUGGACGCGGCUUUGCCCACGACCUAUUUUUGGCACACGGAGGCCCCUCGCAAAGUCUCGCGGCAUUCCGAGUCCGGCGGACGAAGUUGGCCAGCAUCACCCCCCUAGGCUAUAGCCCACCCGUUUUUGUGGCCUUUUUCCGCUGGACGAACAUGGCGCCCUGGCCAUCGGGCGGUUAUUUUUGGGUGUGGCUUUGUCCGCGGCCUAUUUUUGGCACACGGAGGCCCCUCGCAAAGUCAUGCGGCAUUCCGAGUCUGGCGGACGAAUUUGGCCAGCCCCACCCCCCAAGGCUAUAGCCCACCCGUUUUUGUGGCCUUUUUCCGCUGGAUGAACUUGGCGCCCCGACCUUCGAGUGGUUAAUUUUGGGCGCGGCUUUACCCGCCGCCUAGUUUUUGAACACGGAGGCCCCUCACAAAGUCUCGCGGCAUUCCGAGUCCGACGGACGAAGUUGGCCAGCAUCACCCCCCAAGGCUAUAGCCCACCCGUUUUUGUGGCCUUUUUCCGCUGGACGAACUUGGCGCCCCGGCCUUCGGGCUGUUAAUUUUCGACGCCGCUUUGCCCACGGCCUAUUUUUGGCACACGGAGGCCCCUCGCAAAGUCUCGAGGCAUUCCGAGUCCGGCGGACGAAGUUGGCCAGCCCCACCCCCCACGGCUAUAGCCCACCCGUUUUUGUGGCCUUUUUCCGCUGGACGAACUUGGCGCCCCGGCCUUCGGGCUGUUAAUUUUCGACGCCGCUUUGCCCACGG
rnacentral:lncRNA from 1 species